AUUAAGACUUAGUUGUUUUUGUUGAGUUUGUUACAGUACUUAUUCUGCAUGCUAGUUGUUUAACUCUUAAGACUAUUUAAGGCUUUGUAUUUUUUGUUUUUGACUGUAACUUCUUAUUUGGCCUUCUACUUAUUGCCCUUCUCACACUACUUAUCUACCUUACCUGAUAUCAAUUAAAUUAUAUUACUUCUGGUACAUUUGUGCUUGCUUCCUUGGUAUUUACUGAUAGGUUUAUCUAAUGAAAAUUAACUCAUUAUGAUGUUGAAGGAGUAAAGUUCAGCAAAUUGUUGGCGCUACAAUUAAUUUGCAUCGGCGUUCAGGAAAUGUCUUACCACCCCCUGUGGAUGAGUAUACUGAUAGAAACAUAUCAUCAACAGUCAAACUCGACUCCAAAAGUUCUUUAAAUGUAAGACUGAAGUGUUUUUUCUGUCUCAAAGUAAUUUUAUCAUUGGUGGUUGAGUUUUGGAUAAUCAUUCUAUGAUAUAACCCGAUUCCUAUUAGGUGAAAUAGGUAUGCGGAUGGUUAAUUUUUUUAACUAAUAUGAAGUCACAAGCAUUUCAAAGUCUGGUGAAGUUUUAAUUAACGUGAUAUGUUCAAAUUCUGGGAGUUGAUUUAUGCUGUUACUCACAACUUGAUAGAACAUGUUAUUUCUUUACAGCGGAAUAUUGGAAAUUGUGAUAGUGGAUCUUGUGCCGAUAGUGAUACUCCUGCACU
rnacentral:misc_RNA from 1 species